UACAGAGGUCUCAAGCGUUGUUCGGAUUCAUUGGGCGUAAAGGGUGCGUAGGCGGCGCGGUAAGUCGGGUGUGAAAUCUCGGAGCUUAACUCCGAAACUGCACUCGAUACUGCCGUGCUUGAGGACUGGAGAGGAGACUGGAAUUUACGGUGUAGCGGUGAAAUGCGUAGAUAUCGUAAGGAAGACCAGUGGCGAAGGCGGGUCUCUGGGCCUGUCCUGACGCUCAGGCGCGAAAGCUAGGGGAGCGAACAGG
rnacentral:rRNA from 1 species